rnacentral:misc_RNA from 1 species
UGUGGGAGCGAGCCUGCUCGCGAAUGCGGUCUGACAUUCACCAUUGAUGUCGACUGAUGGAUCGCUUUCGCGAGCAGGCUCGCUCCCACA